rnacentral:rRNA from 1 species
CAGGCCUAACACAUGCAAGUCGCACGGGGGCUUCGGCCUUAGUGGCGGACGGGUGAGUAUCGCGUAGGAAUCUAUCCAUGGGUGGGGGAUAACUCUGGGAAACUGGAGCUAAUACCGCAUGACACCUGAGGGUCAAAGGCGCAAGUCGCCUGUGGAGGAGCCUGCGUUCGAUUAGCUUGUUGGUGGGGUAAAGGCCUACCAAGGCGAUGAUCGAUAGCUGGUCUGAGAGGAUGAUCAGCCACACUGGGACUGAGACACGGCCCAGACUCCUACGGGAGGCAGCAGUGGGGAAUAUUGGACAAUGGGCGCAAGCCUGAUCCAGCAAUGCCGCGUGUGUGAAGAAGGUCUUCGGAUUGUAAAGCACUUUCGACGGGGACGAUGAUGACGGUACCCGUAGAAGAAGCCCCGGCUAACUUCGUGCCAGCAGCCGCGGUAAU